rnacentral:tRNA from 1 species
GGUAGCGUGGCCGAGUGGUUAAAGGCGCGCUAGACUUAAGAUCUAGUCUCGAUAGAGUUCGUGGGUUCGAAUCCCACCGCUACCU